GAAUUCACUAGUGAUUCAGGCCUAACACAUGCAAGUCGAACGCCCCGCAAGGGGAGUGGCAGACGGGUGAGGAACACGUGGGAACGUACCUUUUGGUUCGGAAUAACUCAGGGAAACUUGUGCUAAUACCGGAUAAGCCCUUCGGGGGAAAGAUUUAUUGCCAAAAGAUCGGCCCGCGUCUGAUUAGCUAGUUGGUGAGGUAACGGCUCACCAAGGCGACGAUCAGUAGCUGGUCUGAGAGGAUGAUCAGCCACACUGGGACUGAGACACGGCCCAGACUCCUACGGGAGGCAGCAGUGGGGAAUAUUGGAAAGGGGGCGCAAGCCUGAUCCAGCCAUGCCGCGUGAGUAAGAGAGGUCUUCGGAUUGUAAAGCUCUUUUGGCGGGGACG
rnacentral:rRNA from 1 species